GACGAACGCUGGCGGCGUGCCUAAUACAUGCAAGUUGAGCGCUGAAGGUUGGUACUUGUACCAACUGGAUGAGCAGCGAACGGGUGAGUAACGCGUGGGGAAUCUGCCUUUGAGCGGGGGACAACAUUUGGAAACGAAUGCUAAUACCGCAUAAAAACUUUAAACACAAGUUUUAAGUUUGAAAGAUGCAAUUGCAUCACUCAAAGAUGAUCCCGCGUUGUAUUAGCUAGUUGGUGAGGUAAAGGCUCACCAAGGCGAUGAUACAUAGCCGACCUGAGAGGGUGAUCGGCCACAUUGGGACUGAGACACGGCCCAAACUCCUACGGGAGGCAGCAGUAGGGAAUCUUCGGCAAUGGACGAAAGUCUGACCGAGCAACGCCGCGUGAGUGAAGAAGGUUUUCGGAUCGUAAAACUCUGUUGGUAGAGAAGAACGUUGGUGAGAGUGGAAAGCUCAUCAAGUGACGGUAACUAGCCAGAAAGGGACGGCUAACUACGUG
rnacentral:rRNA from 1 species